rnacentral:rRNA from 1 species
UACGUAGGGGGCUAGCGUUGCUCGGAAUCACUGGGCGUAAAGCGCACGUAGGCGGAUUGUUAAGUCAGGGGUGAAAUCCUGGAGCUCAACUCCAGAACUGCCUUUGAUACUGGCGAUCUUGAGUCCGGGAGAGGUGAGUGGAACUCCGAGUGUAGAGGUGAAAUUCGUAGAUAUUCGGAAGAACACCAGUGGCGAAGGCGGCUCACUGGCCCGGUACUGACGCUGAGGUGCGAAAGCGUGGGGAGCAAACAGG